rnacentral:rRNA from 1 species
CGAAACCGAGUGAUCUAGCCAUGAGCAGGUUGAAGGUGCAGUAACAUGCACUGGAGGUCCGAACCGAUUAACGUUGAAAAGUUACCGGAUGAGUUGUGUUUAGGGGUGAAAGGCCAAUCAAGCCGGGAAAUAGCUGGUUCUCCGCGAAAACUAUUUAGGUAGUGCGUCAGACGAAUACCACCGGGGGUAGAGCACUGGAUGGGUAAUGGGGACCCACAGUCUUACUGAUCCUAACCAAACUCCGAAUACCGGUGAGUACUAUCUGGCAG